rnacentral:rRNA from 1 species
GGGCGUUAAGUUGCAGGGUAUAGACCCGAAACCCGGUGAUCUAGCCAUGGGCAGGUUGAAGGUUGGGUAACACUAACUGGAGGACCGAACCGACUAAUGUUGAAAAAUUAGCGGAUGACCUGUGGCUGGGGGUGAAAGGCCAAUCAAACCGGGAGAUAGCUGGUUCUCCCCGAAAGCUAUUUAGGUAGCGCCUCGUGAAUUCAUCUCCGGGGGUAGAGCACUGUUUCGGCUAGGGGGCCAUCCCGGCUUACCAACCCGAUGCAAACUGCGAAUACCGGAGAAUGUUAUCACGGGAGACACACGGCGGGUGCUAACGUCCGUCGUGAAGAGGGAAACAACCCAGACCGCCAGCUAAGGUCCCAAAGUCAUGGUUAAGUGGGAAACGAUGUGGGAAGGCCCAGACAGCCAGGAUGUUGGCUUAGAAGCAGCCAUCAUUUAAAGAAAGCGUAAUAGCUCACUGGUCGAGUCGGCCUGCGCGGAAGAUGUAACGGGGCUAAACCAUGCACCGAAGCUGCGGCAGCGACGCUUAUGCGUUGUUGGGUAGGGGAGCGUUCUGUAAGCCUGUGAAGGUGGCCUGUGAGGGUUGCUGGAGGUAUCAGAAGUGCGAAUGCUGACAUAAGUAACGAUAAAGCGGGUGAAAAGCCCGCUCGCCGGAAGACCAAGGGUUCCUGUCCAACGUUAAUCGGGGCAGGGUGAGUCGACCCCUAAGGCGAGGCCGAAAGGCGUAGUCGAUGGGAAACGGGUUAAUAUUCCCGUACUUGGUGUUACUGCGAAGGGGGGACGGAGAAGGCUAUGUUGGCCGGGCGACGGUUGUCCCGGUUUAAGCGUGUAGGUGUGUGUUCCAGGUAAAUCCGGUUCACUUUAACACUGAGGCGUGACGACGAGGCACUACGGUGCUGAAGCAACAAAUGCCCUGCUUCCAGGAAAAGCCUCUAAGCAUCAGGUAACAUCAAAUCGUACCCCAAACCGACACAGGUG